UACGUAGGGGGCGAGCGUUAUCCGGAUUUACUGGGUGUAAAGGGAGCGUAGACGGCUGGGCAAGCCUGAUGUGAAAGGCGGGGGCGCAACCCUCGGACUGCAUUGGGAACUGUCCGGCUGGAGCGCCGGAGGGGUAAGCGGAAUUCCUGGUGUAGCGGUGAAAUGCGUAGAUAUCAGGAGGAACACCGGUGGCGAAGGCGGCUUACUGGACGGCGACUGACGUUGAUGCUCGAAAGCGUGGGGAGCGA
rnacentral:rRNA from 1 species